rnacentral:rRNA from 1 species
UACGGGGGGAGCAAGCGUUGUUCGGAUUUACUGGGCGUAAAGGGCGCGUAGGCGGCUUAUCAAGUCAGGCGUGAAAUUCCCGGGCUCAACCUGGGGGCUGCGCUUGAUACUGAUGAGCUUGAAUGCGGGAGAGGAUAGUGGAAUUCCCAGUGUAGAGGUGAAAUUCGUAGAUAUCGGGAGGAACACCGGUGGCGAAGGCGGCGACCUGGGUCGAGACUGACGCUGAGGCGCGAAAGCGUGGGGAGCAAACAGG